AUCGUCUCCAUCUCUAUAUUUCCCAUGCUAAAAGGCAAUGAAACAAAAGAUCGUCCCUCUGUUUCAUCGUAAACAUAUCUCCAUGCAAUAAUCUUCCAUCCCCUACGAAGAACAUAAUCUACAACAACACAGUUCAAGCAGUGCAAUUAAUGCCGAUCCAAUCAUCAAUCCCACGAUCUUCUUCUGAUCCAUCCCUCUCCACAACAAUCUGCUCUCACUCUGGCUUGCCUAGUAAUUCCAACCACUCACCAUCUUCAACUCCUCCAUCAAAGUCAAAAUACUCUCUGCGCUCCCCACUACUAGAAAGGAUUAUUAAUGGCAUUAAAAGCCAAUCCUUGGUGGCCUCCAGGCGUUCGUAUUUGAAAGAGAAGGAUCUUGAGGUUCACAACAGAAGAAUUGCCGCCAUUAAUGUCGACGACGCUUACUCCAAUUCCACUCCAUAUUACAAAGGAGUGUAUUAUGAUUCUCUAAUUACCAAAACGCCAAAAUUGACUUCUGGAAUCAGUUCUGGACGCAAAAGUGACUCAGACAGUGUUGCUACCUCUACCUCUAGCUCUCUCUCCACCUUCAUCUUUAGAAUUCGAGAUCUGAGUUCUAAUUGCUUUAGUGUUAAAAUUAAGAGAGAUGAGACCAGCAAGCCUGCAACCUAUGCCACGAUGAAAUCUGCAGGUCGCACUCCUUUCUUCCCUUCUUCAUCACCAUCAGCAUCGUCACCUAGGGCGACUGUGACGGUGUUGAAGGAGAAGAGUACGAUUGCUGAAGAAAGGAAGGAGACGACCGUCGGCGAUGUCCAUGCUUUGUUAGCUAAGGAGAAGCCAUUGAGGGAGAGAGUAGCAGAACCCGCAGCCGUAACAACUGUAGUAAUGCAGCCAUCCAAAGCCAAUCCAAUGGCAAACAAGUACUCUCCUUUCUUGACUCAGACACCAUCAGCAUCGGCAGCACCAAGGACAAAGACGAGGGUUUUGAAGGAGAUGAGUGAAGGAAGGAACGAAAUCAUCGGUAAAGGCGAUGCUAAUGAUUUGUUAGUUGAAAAGAAGCUCUUGAGAGAGAGUGCGGAAAAACCCGCACCCAAAAUACCAACCGGCCUAGUAUUGCAGCCAUCCAAAUCAAAAGACCGAAUCAUAAAUGAGAAAGAUGGCAACAAAAAGAUGAGGAAUAACCGCGAGUUUGUAUGGGCAAACAAGUACCAACCCAAGGCCUUGGACGACUUCAUUUGCAAUCGAGAAAAAGCCAUGGAGCUACUAGCUUUGAUCAGAGAGGGAGGAUGUGGCCAUAUUAUAUUUGAGGGGCCACCGGGCGUGGGGAAGAGAACCAUGAUAUGGGCUAUGCUUCGAGAGGCUUUUGGACCUGACAGAGUACAGGUGAGGGACGAAUGCAAGGCAUUUAACUUGAAGGGUGAAAUGUUGGGUAAGAUCCAAGUAAAUGUAAAGCAAUCUCCCCGGCACAUUGAAGUCAAUCUCUCUGAACUAAAGGGCUAUGAGAAGCAUGUCGUUGUUGAACUUAUCAAGGAAACACAAAAUAUGAUUUCUAUCAAAGGUUUGCCUUGUGACUCUGACAAUUGCCGAGCAAUUAUUUUAUACGAGGCAGAAAAGCUAUCUACAGAUGCCCUACUAUACAUAAAGUGGCUAUUGGAACGGUAUAAAGGAUGUAAUAAGGUUUUCUUCUGUUGCUCUGAUCUCUCAAAACUUCAACCCAUCAAAACAAUUUGCACAGUUGUUCAGCUGGUACCACCUUCACGUAAAGAGAUUGUUGAAGUUUUGGAGUUCAUAGCUAAACAAGAAGGCAUAGAAUUGCCACAUCGAUUGGCUGAAAAAUUUGCAGAGAAGUCGAAAAAUAAUCUUCGUCAAGCCAUUCGAUCAUUUGAGGCCUCUUGGUUGGUCAAUUAUCCCUUUCAAGAAGAUCUAGAAAUUUUGACUGGAUGGGAAGAUGACAUUGCAAAUAUUGCUAAGAAUAUAGUAGAAGAGCAAAGUCCAAAACAGUUAUAUAUGAUUCGUGGGAUGCUUCAAAAUCUCAUAGAGCAUGAUGUAUCCCCCGACUCUAUGUUCAAGUUUCUGGUAAAAGAGCUAAAGAAGCAUGCACAAGAGGAAUUAAAACAACAAAUUGAUAAACUGUAUGAGGAAUACAGUAGGGUUGAUGAAAAUUUAUUUGAAAGUCAGAAAUUGGCCUUUGCAAACAAUAAAUCCGAGGAAACUGGCAAAGGAGCUCAUGAACCAAUGAGAAGGAAUAUUGUUCAACAAUUUCUGAGGAUCGAAGAGUUUAUAGCAAGAUUCAUGAGCUGCUAUAAGUCAUCAAUCACAACAAACAAAAGUGUGCAACAUUGAAGUGGGACUUCUUGCUUACCCUUAGCUCAGUCAAAUUAUCUUAUGUGGAUAAUAUGAAUAAAUGGCUGCUUAAUUUCAUGUUUAGAGCAAGCUUGAGACAAGGACUUUGAAAAAUAAGGAAUCUUCCAUAUAGUUAUUUGUUUUAAGCAUCUUUCCUGUAAAUGUAUAUUCAAAACCAAAUAAUCCAAUCAUGAAAUUGGAUAUACUCUGCAUAAUUAUAAGUUGGCAAGAGGCCUAUGUAAUGGAUUUAGAAACUGCGAUGGGCAUAUUAACCAAAAACAUCAUCACAGCACUCUCAAUGUACUACUGUUCAAUAUGGCGUUAUAG